AUUGAACGCUGGCGGCAGGCCUAACACAUGCAAGUCGAACGAGCGGCGGACGGGUGAGUCAUGUCUGGGAAACUGCCUGAUGGAGGGGGAUAACUACUGGAACCGGUAGCUAAUACCGCAUACCAUCAGAUGUGCCCAGAUGUGCGUAGCUUGUUGGUGGGGUAACGGCUCACCAAGGCGACGAUCCCUAUCUGGUCUGAGAGGAUGACCAGCAAAACUGGAACGGAGAAACGGUCAAGACUCCUACGGGGGGAAGAAGUGGGAAAGAUUGCACAAUGGGCGCAAGCCUGAUGCAGCAAGGCGGCGUGUAUAAAGAGGGCCUUCGGGUUGGAAAGUACUUUCAGCGGGGAGGCGGUACCCGCAGAAGAAGCAACGGCUAACUCCGUGCCAGCCGCCGCGGUAAUUC
rnacentral:rRNA from 1 species